AACGAACGCUGGCGGCAUGCCUAACACAUGCAAGUCGAACGAGACCUUCGGGCCUAGUGGCGCACGGGUGCGUGACGCGGGGGAACCUGCCCUUGGGUUCGGAAUAACUCCCCGAAAGGGGUGCUAAUACCGGAUAAGGUCUUCGGACCAAAGAUUUAUUGCCUUUGGGUGGGCCUGAGUUGGUUUAGCUGGUUGGUAGGGUAAAAGCCGAGCAAGGGGUGGUUCCAUAGCUGGUAUGAGAGGAUGAUAAGCAACACUGGGGAUGCGACACGGCCCAGAAUCGGACGGGAGGGAGCAGAGGGGAAUACUGGACGAUGGGGGAAGGUCUGAUCAAGCAAUGCCGGGUAAGUGAUGAAGGCCGUAGGGUUGUAAAGUUCUUUUACCCGGGGCGAUAAUGACGGUACCGGGAGAAUAAGCACCGGCUAACUCCGUG
rnacentral:rRNA from 1 species